rnacentral:tRNA from 1 species
CAUGGUGUAACUUAAUUAAAGUAUCUUGCUUACACCAAGAAUAUGCCCACUCACUAUGAGCCACCUUGA